rnacentral:snRNA from 1 species
AUGAUCACUUCAACAGCAAAUAUACUAAAAUUGGAAAGAUACAGAGAAGAUGAGCAUGUCCCCUGUGCAAGGAUGACAUUGCAGAUUUGUGAAGUGUUCCAUAUUUUU